UGCGGGGGGGGCAAGCGUUGUUCGGAAUUACUGGGCGUAAAGGGUUUGUAGGUGGCUUGUUAAGUCAGACGUGAAAUCCCUCAGCUUAACUGGGGAACUGCGUCUGAGACUGGUGAGCUUGAGUGCAGGAGAGGAACGCGGAAUUCCAGGUGUAGCGGUGAAAUGCGUAGAUAUCUGGAGGAACACCGGUGGCGAAGGCGGCGUUCUGGACUGCAACUGACACUGAUGAACGAAAGCCAGGGGAGCAAACGGG
rnacentral:rRNA from 1 species